rnacentral:tRNA from 1 species
GUUGUGGCUCAGUGGCAGAGCGCUUGCCUAACAUGUAUGAGGCACUGGGUUUGAUCCCCGACAACA